GAUUCGUCACACUAUCAUUAACUGAAUCCAUAGGUUAAUGAGGCGAACCGGGGGAACUGAAACAUCUAAGUACCCCGAGGAAAAGAAAUCAACCGAGAUUCCCCCAGUAGCGGCGAGCGAACGGGGAGGAGCCCAGAGCCUGAAUCAGCAUGUGUGUUAGUGGAAGCGUCUGGAAAGGCGCGCGAUACAGGGUGACAGCCCCGUACACAAAAGCGCAUGUGCUGUGAGCUCGAUGAGUAGGGCGGGACACGUGGUAUCCUGUCUGAAUAUGGGGGGACCAUCCUCCAAGGCUAAAUACUCCUGACUGACCGAUAGUGAACCAGUACCGUGAGGGAAAGGCGAAAAGAACCCCGGCGAGGGGAGUGAAAAAGAACCUGAAACCGUGUACGUACAAGCAGUGGGAGCACCCUUCGGGGUGUGACUGCGUACCUUUUGUAUAAUGGGUCAGCGACUUAUAUUCUGUAGCAAGGUUAACCGUAUAGGGGAGCCGGAGGGAAACCGAGUCUUAAUUGGGCGUUAAGUUGCAGGGUAUAGACCCGAAACCCGGUGAUCUAGCCAUGGGCAGGUUGAAGGUUGGGUAACACUAACUGGAGGACCGAACCGACUAAUGUUGAAAAAUUAGCGGAUGACCUGUGGCUGGGGGUGAAAGGCCAAUCAAACCGGGAGAUAGCUGGUUCUCCCCGAAAGCUAUUUAGGUAGCGCCUCGUGAAUUCAUCUCCGGGGGUAGAGCACUGUUUCGGCUAGGGGGCCAUCCCGGCUUACCAACCCGAUGCAAACUGCGAAUACCGGAGAAUGUUAUCACGGGAGACACACGGCGGGUGCUAACGUCCGUCGUGAAGAGGGAAACAACCCAGACCGCCAGCUAAGGUCCCAAAGUCAUGGUUAAGUGGGAAACGAUGUGGGAAGGCCCAGACAGCCAGGAUGUUGGCUUAGAAGCAGCCAUCAUUUAAAGAAAGCGUAAUAGCUCACUGGUCGAGUCGGCCUGCGCGGAAGAUGUAACGGGGCUAAACCAUGCACCGAAGCUGCGGCAGCGAACGUAUCACCCAAGACAACUUUACGGAGUUGACGAUUGACGGAGCGAAGCGACGUCAAAGCGUUCAUUAAAGUCGAGUUGGCUUAGGGAUACGUUCGUUGGGUAGGGGAGCGUUCUGUAAGCCUGUGAAGGUGUGUCGUGAGGCAUGCUGGAGGUAUCAGAAGUGCGAAUGCUGACAUAAGUAACGAUAAAGCGGGUGAAAAGCCCGCUCGCCGGAAGACCAAGGGUUCCUGUCCAACGUUAAUCGGGGCAGGGUGAGUCGACCCCUAAGGCGAGGCCGAAAGGCGUAGUCGAUGGGAAACGGGUUAAUAUUCCCGUACUUGGUGUUACUGCGAAGGGGGGACGGAGAAGGCUAUGUUGGCCGGGCGACGGUUGUCCCGGUUUAAGCGUGUAGGUGUGUGUUCCAGGUAAAUCCGGUUCACUUUAACACUGAGGCGUGACGACGAGGCACUACGGUGCUGAAGCAACAAAUGCCCUGCUUCCAGGAAAAGCCUCUAAGCAUCAGGUAACACGAAAUCGUACCCCAAACCGACACAGGUGGUCAGGUAGAGAAUACCAAGGCGCUUGAGAGAACUCGGGUGAAGGAACUAGGCAAAAUGGUGCCGUAACUUCGGGAGAAGGCACGCUGACACGUAGGUGAAGUGAUUUACUCAUGGAGCUGAAGUCAGUCGAAGAUACCAGCUGGCUGCAACUGUUUAUUAAAAACACAGCACUGUGCAAACACGAAAGUGGACGUAUACGGUGUGACGCCUGCCCGGUGCCGGAAGGUUAAUUGAUGGGGUCAGCGCAAGCGAAGCUCCUGAUCGAAGCCCCGGUAAACGGCGGCCGUAACUAUAACGGUCCUAAGGUAGCGAAAUUCCUUGUCGGGUAAGUUCCGACCUGCACGAAUGGCGUAAUGAUGGCCAGGCUGUCUCCACCCGAGACUCAGUGAAAUUGAACUCGCUGUGAAGAUGCAGUGUACCCGCGGCAAGACGGAAAGACCCCGUGAACCUUUACUAUAGCUUGACACUGAACAUUGAGCCUUGAUGUGUAGGAUAGGUGGGAGGCUUUGAAGUGUGGACGCCAGUCUGCAUGGAGCCGACCUUGAAAUACCACCCUUUAAUGUUUGAUGUUCUAACGUGGACCCGUAAUCCGGGUUGCGGACAGUGUCUGGUGGGUAGUUUGACUGGGGCGGUCUCCUCCUAAAGAGUAACGGAGGAGCACGAAGGUUGGCUAAUCCUGGUCGGACAUCAGGAGGUUAGUGCAAUGGCAUAAGCCAGCUUGACUGCGAGCGUGACGGCGCGAGCAGGUGCGAAAGCAGGUCAUAGUGAUCCGGUGGUUCUGAAUGGAAGGGCCAUCGCUCAACGGAUAAAAGGUACUCCGGGGAUAACAGGCUGAUACCGCCCAAGAGUUCAUAUCGACGGCGGUGUUUGGCACCUCGAUGUCGGCUCAUCACAUCCUGGGGCUGAAGUAGGUCCCAAGGGUAUGGCUGUUCGCCAUUUAAAGUGGUACGCGAGCUGGGUUUAGAACGUCGUGAGACAGUUCGGUCCCUAUCUGCCGUGGGCGCUGGAGAACUGAGGGGGGCUGCUCCUAGUACGAGAGGACCGGAGUGGACGCAUCACUGGUGUUCGGGUUGUCAUGCCAAUGGCACUGCCCGGUAGCUAAAUGCGGAAGAGAUAAGUGCUGAAAGCAUCUAAGCACGAAACUUGCCCCGAGAUGAGUUCUCCCUGAGACUUAGAGUCUCCUGAAGGAACGUUGAAGACGACGACGUUGAUAGGCCGG
rnacentral:rRNA from 1 species